rnacentral:rRNA from 1 species
CCUACGGGAGGCAGCAGCGGGGAAUAUUGCACAAUGGGCGCAAGCCUGAUGCAGCCAUGCCGCGUGUGUGAAGAAGGCCUUCGGGUUGUAAAGCACUUUCAGCGGGGAGGAAGGCGGUGAGGUUAAUAACCUCAUCGAUUGACGUUACCCGCAGAAGAAGCACCGGCUAACUCCGUGCCAGCAGCCGCGGUAAUACGGAGGGUGCAAGCGUUAAUCGGAAUUACUGGGCGUAAAGCGCACGCAGGCGGUCUGUCAAGUCGGAUGUGAAAUCCCCGGGCUCAACCUGGGAACUGCAUUCGAAACUGGCAGGCUAGAGUCUUGUAGAGGGGGGUGGAAUUCCAGGUGUAGCGGUGAAAUGCGUAGAGAUCUGGAGGAAUACCGGUGGCGAAGGCGGCCCCCUGGACAAAGACUGACGCUCAGGUGCGAAAGCGUGGGGAGCAAACAGGAUUAGAUACCCUGUAGUC